rnacentral:rRNA from 16 species
GUGCACCUUUACUACAACUUCGCAGUGGCGUUAGUGGCGAUAUGUGUAGGAUAGGCGGGAGGCUUUGAAACCGGAGCGCCAGUUCCGGUGGAGCCAUCCUUGAAAUACCGCCCUUAUCCUCAUUGACGUCUAACCGCGGUCCAUGAACCUGGAUCCGGGACCCUGCGUGGUGGGCAGUUUGACUGGGGCGGUCGCCUCCCAAAGAGUAACGGAGGCGCGCGAAGGUAGGCUCAAGCUGGACGGAAAUCAGCUGACGAGUGCAAUGGCAUAAGCCUGC